CGAACGCUGGCGGCGCGCUUACCACAUGCAAGUCGAACGGAAAGGCCUGCUUUCCCUUGUGGAUUGCGGGUACUCGAGUGGCGAACGGGUGAGUAACACGUGAGUGAUCUGCCCCCAACUUGGGUAUAAGCCUGGGAAACUGGGUCUAAUUCCCGAUAGGACUGCAGGGUGGUGCCUGUGGUGGAAAACGAUUUUCUAGUGGUUGGGGAUGAGCUCGCGGCCUAUCAGCUUGUUGGUGGGGUAAUGGCCUACCAAGGCGGCGACGGGUAGCCGGCCUGAGAGGGUGGACGGCCACAUUGGGACUGGGAUACGGCCCAGACUCCUACGGGAGGCAGCAGUGGGGAAUAUUGCACAAUGGGCGGAAGCCUGAUGCAGCGACGCCGCGUGGGGGAUGACGGCCUUCGGGUUGUAAACUCCUUUCGACCGCGAGGAAGCCACCUGGUUGGAAGGGUGGUGACGGUAGUGGUAGAAGAAGCACCGGCUAACUACGUG
rnacentral:rRNA from 1 species